rnacentral:misc_RNA from 1 species
GGAGAUCAAGAAUUAAGGGCCUCAAGUUGUCUCUUCAAAUCUUCAAGAUCAUCCAAGGAUGGGGCUCCGGAUUCUGUAGGAGGCGGAUGCUGUGAUUCAUCUGCAUUUGGAAGCUCACGAACAAGACCUUCCGGAAGGGCGUCUGAACUGGUUAUUCCCACAAUUUCAAUCUCAACUUCGUCAACAACACUUAUGUUCCAU